rnacentral:rRNA from 1 species
CCGGCGCACGGGUGCGUAACGCGUAUACAAUCUACCUUUUGCUACGGGAUAGCCCAGAGAAAUUUGGAUUAACACCGCAUAGUAUAUAUGGACCGCAUGGUCUUUAUAUUAAAGGUCACGGCAGAAGAUGAGUAUGCGUCCUAUUAGCUAGAUGGAGUGGUAACGGCACCCCAUGGCAACGAUAGGUAGGGGCCCUGAGAGGGGGAUCCCCCACACUGGUACUGAGACACGGACCAG